UCAACAUUGUUUACGAUUGAAGAGAGUGGUGCGGAAGUGUUUACGGAUAAUUUUUUUCAUUUGUUCGGCACAAUUUAGGACUUUAGUGGGUAGUUUGGCAUGCAAAGGUUUUGCAAAGAACACUCGAUUACAAUUGUCGUACCCAAAACAAAACUAUUAUGCCGGAAGUGGUCCUUUCGAAUCUGAUGUUUAUGCGUGAAAUCAAAUAACGGGAAGAUCAUCAGGACUUCCAACUAUAUUGAAACGAGUUAAACAGAUUGUUAUUCUUGCUGGCAUCAGGAGCUGUCUUUUCGGCAAAAUAGACAGCUUUCACCUUGCUGCGGCGGCAGCUUCCUCCGUCAGUGUCCAUUUGCUCGCGUUUACUCCUUGUUCACAUCACGGACGGAAGGGGCAAGUUCGUCCAAGGCAACGGCCAGCUAUGUUCCUUUACACAUCGGCGCUGACCCGGGCUGUAGAUUCCUCAGCGUAGGCCGGCAAAUCAUCCGGAACUGCUGACCGAUGGAACGGUUGCUGCGGAAAAUGUUGUUCGGUGAGGCCAGUGAUUCAGUUCGCCUUUUGCAGAACUCAACAUACGGACCAGGUUCCCGUUUCGUUCCUAAUGGUAAGAAUUCUCCGUGUUAUGGCCAUCCUGGCAAAAACUGGGCGAUUUUGUGAUGGGUACUUACGAAAUAGGGGAACUAUACCCUUUCUCAGCCUAUUUCUAUUAUCGGCCUAUGAGUACUUUGAUCAUGAAUUACAGCUUUAAUAAAGUGUUUUUGACUGUUCUAAAGUAAUAAAUAGCUCA